rnacentral:rRNA from 1 species
AACGCUAGCUACAGGCUUAACACAUGCAAGUCGAGGGGCAGCACGGUCUUAGCUUGCUAAGGCCGAUGGCGACCGGCGCACGGGUGAGUAACACGUAUCCAACCUGCCGUCUACUCUUGGACAGCCUUCUGAAAGGAAGAUUAAUACAAGAUGGCAUCAUGAGUCCGCAUGUUCACAUGAUUAAAGGUAUUCCGGUAGACGAUGGGGAUGCGUUCCAUUAGAUAGUAGGCGGGGUAACGGCCCACCUAGUCUUCGAUGGAUAGGGGUUCUGAGAGGAAGGUCCCCCACAUUGGAACUGAGACACGGUCCAAACUCCUACGGGAGGCAGCAGUGAGGAAUAUUGGUCAAUGGGCGAGAGCCUGAACCAGCCAAGUAGCGUGAAGGAUGACUGCCCUAUGGGUUGUAAACUUCUUUUAUAAAGGAAUAAAGUCGGGUAUGGAUACCCGUUUGCAUGUACUUUAUGAAUAAGGAUCGGCUAACUCCGUGCCAGCAGCCGCGGUAAUACGGAGGAUCCGAGCGUUAUCCGGAUUUAUUGGGUUUAAAGGGAGCGUAGAUGGAUGUUUAAGUCAGUUGUGAAAGUUUGCGGCUCAACCGUAAAAUUGCAGUUGAUACUGGAUAUCUUGAGUGCAGUUGAGGCAGGCGGAAUUCGUGGUGUAGCGGUGAAAUGCUUAGAUAUCACGAAGAACUCCGAUUG